rnacentral:rRNA from 1 species
UGCCUAAUACAUGCAAGUAGAACGCUGAAGGAGGAGCUUGCUUCUCUGGAUGAGUUGCGAACGGGUGAGUAACGCGUAAGUAACCUGCCUGGUAGCGGGGGAUAACUAUUGGAAACGAUAGCUAAUACCGCAUAAGAGUGGAUGUUGCAUGACAUUUACUUAAAAGGUGCAAUUGCAUCACUACCAGAUGGACCUGCGUUGUAUUAGCUAGUUGGUGGGGUAACGGCUCACCAACGCGACGAUACGUAGCCGACCUGAGAGGUGAUCGGCCACACUGGGACUGAGACACGGCACAGACUCCUACGGGAGGCGGCAGUAGGGAAUCUUCGGCAAUGGACGGAGGUCUGACCGAGCAACCGCCGCGUGAGUGAAGAAGGUUUUCGGAUCGUAAAGCUCUGUUGUAAGAGAAGAACGAGUGUGAGAGUGGAAAGUUCACACUGUGACGGUAUCUUACCAGAAAGGGACGGCUAACUACGUGCCAGCAGCCGCGGUAAUACGUAGGUCCCGAGCGUUGUCCGGAUUUAUUGGGCGUAAAGCGAGCGCAGGCGGUUAGAUAAGUCUGAAGUUAAAGGCUGUGGCUUUACCAUAGUACGCUUUGGAAACUGUUUAACUUGAGUGCAAGAGGGGAGAGUGGAAUUCCAUGUGUAGCGGUGAAAUGCGUAGAUAUAUGGAGGAACACCGGUGGCGAAAGCGGCUCUCUGGCUUGUAACUGACGCUGAGGCUCGAAAGCGUGGGGAGCAAACAGGAUUAGAUANCCUGGUAGUCCACGCCGUAAACGAUGAGUGCUAGGUGUUAGACCCUU